UACGAAGGGGGCUAGCGUUGUUCGGAAUCACUGGGCGUAAAGGGCGCGUAGGCGGCCUGAUAAGUCGGGGGUGAAAGCCUGUGGCUCAACCACAGAAUUGCCUUCGAUACUGCUAGGCUUGAGACCGGAAGAGGUAAGUGGAACUGCGAGUGUAGAGGUGAAAUUCGUAGAUAUUCGCAAGAACACCAGUGGCGAAGGCGGCUUACUGGUCCGGUACUGACGCUGAGGUGCGAAAGCGUGGGGAGCAAACAGG
rnacentral:rRNA from 1 species